AUAGAAAUAACAUGAAAAUGAUAACAAACUUAUUUUCAGUUUUUGAUCCUACUUCAAGCCUAAUGAAUAUCCCUCUUAAUUGAUUAUCUACCUUUCUAGGUGUAAUGUUUUUACCUAUAAUAUAUUGAAUUAUACCCUCUCGAUGAUCAUUACUAUGGAAUCUAAUUACAAGAACACUUCAUAAAGAAUUUAAAAUUUUAUUAGUAUCAUCACAUACAGGUACAACUCUUAUAUUUGUAAGACUUUUUACUUUUAUUGUAUUUAACAAUUUUUUUAGGUUUACUGCCUUAUGUAUUUACUAGAACAAGACACUUAAUCAUAACUCUCGCUCUUGCGUCACCUUUAUGGUUAGCUUUCAUAAUAUUUGGAUGGAUUAAUCAUACACAACAUAUAUUUGCUCAUCUUGUACCGCAAGGUACCCCAGAUGCUCUUAUACCUUUUAUAGUUUUAAUUGAAACUAUUAGAAAUGUUAUCCGACCAGGAACCUUAGCUGUACGAUUAGCAGCCAAUAUAACUACAGGUCAUUUAUUACUUACUCUUUUAGGAAAUACUGGUCCAUCUUUAUGAACUACCUUGUUUUUUUUUAUUUAUAAUAGCACAAAUUUUACUGUUAAUUUUAGAAGCUGCUGUAGCAGUAAUUCAAUCGUAUGUUUUUGCCGUUCUAAGAACCCUUUAUGCCAGUGAAGUAAUAUAAAAUUAAACUAAUGACAUCAUCUCACGGACACCACGCUUUCCAUUUAGUAGAUAUAAGACCAUGACCACUUACAGGUUCAAUUAGAGCUAUAAUAUUAACUACAGGAUUAGUUAAAUGAUUUCAUCAAUUUAAUCCUGACCUUUUAUUCUUAGGAGUUAUUGCAACAACUCUUACUAUAAUUCAAUGAUGACGAGAUAUUACACGAGAAGGUACUUAUCAAGGAUUACAUACUAAAGCAGUUACUAUUGGUCUUCGAUGAGGUAUAAUCUUAUUUAUUACAUCAGAAGUAUUAUUCUUUUUCUCUUUCUUCUGAGCUUUUUUCCACAGAAGAUUAUCUCCUAAUGUAGAAGUAAGUAGUUGUUGACCUCCUGCAGGAAUUCAACCCUUUAAUCCUUUUCAAAUUCCUCUUCUUAAUACAGCUAUCCUUCUCGCUUCAGGUGCUACUGUAACUUGAGCUCACCAUGCAAUCAUAGAAUCUAACCACACCCAGGCUAUUCAAAGACUAGCUAUUACGGUUUUACUAGGUAUAUAUUUUACAGCUUUACAAGCCUUAGAAUACUACGAAGCUCCAUUUACAAUUGCAGAUUCAGUAUAUGGUUCAACAUUCUUUGUAGCUACAGGGUUUCAUGGUCUACAUGUUAUUAUUGGUAGUACAUUCCUCUCAGUAUGCUUAUAUCGUUUAUACAAAUGUCAUUUUUCAGCUACACACCACUUUGGAUUUGAAGCUGCCGCUUGAUAUUGACAUUUCGUAGAUGUUGUAUGAUUAUUCCUCUAUAUUUCUAUUUACUGAUGAGGAGG